AAUGCCAUCCACCAGUAAGGAGGGACACCAAUAAGGCGUCCGAUAAGAGUUUAUAAAGACAUGCCAUUGUUGUUGGUUUAAUGAAGAGACACACAGCCAAUAGCUAGUCAGGAAGAGGUCAGACAGGACUUCUUGGAACAGAGAAGUCUUGGGGAAGAAGACAUGCUGAGUUUCCCGACAUACACAGAGGAAGCCGGACAUGCAGGAGGAGAGAGCCCUCGUCCAGUGGCUGAUGGAAACAGAUGCAGACACCCACAGAUAUACACUGAACUGAACUCUGGAACCUAGUUGCAGAGAGGGAGGAAUGAAGAUCAAAGGGGUCAGGACGAGGCUGGUGAAACCCACAGAAACAGCUGGCCUGAACAAGGGGGAGCACAUGGACCCCAGACUGCUGUCUGGGAGGCCAGCAUGGGACUGAUUCAGAUCCCUGAACAUGGAUGUCAAUGAGGAGGCCUCGGCACUCUAC
rnacentral:lncRNA from 1 species